ACGUCUCCAUUUUAAAUCAAGUUUUUAUUUAAGCCAUUUUAAACGAGCGUGGACCUCGAACGAACACGAACGCAUGCGUCUGAAUCAAGAAAACAAGAAACCAAGUUAACAUAGCUGGAUUGCAAUCGCAGUCGCAAUCGCAUUUCGCCCUCGGCCCAGGCGAUUGUCCUAUUUUAUUAUGAUUUAUUCGAGUCGAGAAGAAGCUUUCCUUUUGCCAUAUGUAUUCCACCAAAUCAACCACAAAAAAUAUAUAAAUCAAGCAAACAAAACCGAAAAAUAACUGAAUGAUUUGUGCUACAGAAACUAUUUUUAUGUAUAAAUACAAAAUAAUUAUAUUAAAUAUAUUGUGUAACAUUAUAUAUAAAUAUAUACAAAAAAAAAAAAAACAAAA